GACGAACCGUCCAAACGUUAUUCGGAUUCAUUGGGCGUAAAGGGUGCGUAGGUGGCGCCGUAAGUCGGGUGUGAAAUUUCGGAGCUUAACUCCGAAACUGCAUUCGAUACUGCGGUGCUUGAGGACUGGAGAGGAGACUGGAAUUCAUGGUGUAGCAGUGAAAUGCGUAGAGAUCAUGAGGAAGACCAGUGGCGAAGGCGGGUCUCUGGACAGUUCCUGACACUGAGGCACGAAGGCCAGGGGAGCAAACGGG
rnacentral:rRNA from 1 species